rnacentral:rRNA from 1 species
CCCGCUGAACUUAAGCAUAUUAUUAAGCGGAGGAAAAGAAACUAACAAGGAUGCCCUCAGUAACGGCGAGUGAAGCGGGCAAAGCUCAACCUGAAAAUCUGGCUCCUUAGCGGGAGUCCGAAUUGUGGGCUAGAGAUGUAUGAUCAGUGUGUGACCUGGGUAUAAAUCUUUUGAAACAAGGUAUCAGAGAGGGUGAGAAUCCCGUCUUUGACCUGGAGUUCGCCGCGUACGAUCUACAUUCAUAGAGUCGAGUUGCUUGGGAUUGCAGCUCUAAGUUAGGUGGUAAGUUUCAUCUAAAGCUAAAUAUAUACGAGAGACCGAUAGCGAACAAGUACCGUGAGGGAAAGAUGAAAAGAACUUUGAAAAGAGAGUUAAAAAGUACCUGAAAUUGCUAAGAGGUCAAGCGCUGGAAACCAGUCGAUGGCUGAGGAUGUACUAAAGCUUCUACUUCCGGAUCGGACAUGACUUGUGAGAGCCCAAAGCCUCCUUGACUAGAUCGUGAAGGUGUGGAUGUGUUUGUACGCUUCUGGCCGAGUCAGGAUCAGUUUGAUUCGUGGGAGAAAGCUAUGGCAACGGUAGGUUCGCGGGGGCAACUCUAAGGACUGUCUAGAGCUGUAGUGCUACCAUGGGUUAGACUGAGGUACAAGCCGAAUUGCGCACCUCCGGGUUAGCGGGUUACUCUUCCCUGGAUUCUUAGAUUACUUGGACAACAAAGUUGUGCGGUUUUCGAAAGGUUCUACUGGUUGGGAUAGCUCAGCAGCAGCAGUCGAGAUUGUCUAACGAAAUGGUUUUCAUCGACCCGUCUUGAAACACGG